AAUCUGAAAUAGACCAAUAAAAAUUCUAUAAAUGGAAAUUAGCUCAUUGUCAUUCCUAAAGCACAGAGAUCAAAUAGCAACAUAAUGACUAUUUUAAAUAAGUGGUACUGUGUCAGGGACCUGGACUGAGGACAUUCCUGGGGUCUGUGCUUUAAAUCUGAAAAAAGACAGACCGAUAUGUACAAUGUCUACUUUCAAAUACUAUUAUAUCAGAUGUAAAAUAUUGCUAGGAAUUGAGUAUUAUUAAUAUAAAUAAUUAAUACAUUAAUAAGACUUAAGAGUUUGCAAUUGUAAAAAGUAAGCCACUGCACCUCAGCUUAGUUCAGAAGAUCCUGAGGUCCUAUGUGGUAAAUUAACCUGGGUACUUCACUAGAAACUGAAUCUUCAUUUAUCCUGUUCCAGUAAAAUGUCCUUAAGUUUCUGAAGUUUCAGAUGCAAAUUGUAUUCCAUAAAUUAGUACUGAAAACAUGAACUAGUAAAUCAAAAUGUGCAGAAAUGGCACACUGGGUGCAACGAUGCACAGAGUUUUUAAAGGCCAAGUACAGCCUGGCAAGAUUUAAAUCGACACCCAUUCUACUACCACUUUGAGUAUUUUCUCUCCUUUUCUGUUUCAGUUUUUUUUGACUCCUCCAAAGAGGAAAGGAUCCAAGUCUUAGGACUGAUUGUUCAAGCAACAAUAUUUUAAUGUUGCUGCUCUAAACUGAAUCACAACCAGCAGUAACAAGGUGAAGUGUCAUACUACUGUGUAGUACUUCAGAAUUGUGUCAGCAGGCUGUGGAACCAGUCACGUCAAAAGGCAAACAAAGCACUAAGCAAAGCUUCAAAUGUACUGAGCACAAGUACUUAAGAAUGCUAAUCAGUGAGUAAAAGUUUUAUGAUACUUCAUCUUCUUUUGCCUCUUGAUAGUUUUCCUAGUAUGGGGAAGGGCUCUUUCUUUCAGAAGCUGAAAGUAAGCAAAGGUACAACCCCUAAACAAUGGCAGAGCUACCCUCAAGAUGGAAUUUUCUUCUAUUAUGAUCUUCGUGCAGCCUGAUGUUACAACAAACACUCAGUAACACAUUCCAGCCCACAGAAUCUGCCAGCAUAUACAAACACUUCAAUCUCUGUGCUUGUAAGGUAAAGGCUGGCAACUGCUUCACACAGCAGUUUCAAGUACGGUUUUAAAUUUUAUGAGCUGAAGUAUUUGAUUUCCUUUUAAUAUUGUUAAAAUGGCUAUUUUAUCUUUCAUAAAUAAGACUUCACUGAAGUCAAGCAAGGUCUCACCUGCUUUGCUCAGCUCCAUGGGAUUUUUUUAAGGGCUGAAGUUCAUAAAACACCCAUUACCGUUUGUGUAGCUCAGGGACAGUUCAGAGGCAGUGCAGUGUUAGCCAAAAAAUUUAAAAUCCACUUCAUAACUUGCUCACUGUACUCCCUCCUACACCUGGAUCCAGCUUUGUGCGUACAAAGUUCUUUUCCAUUUCAAAUUCAGCUUUACUGUUUUGAAGUUAUGAAGACAGAUGUCAGUGCAACUACUUUGAAAAAUUUCCAAAAUACAGAAAAAUGUUCUCCACUGGCCAUGUCAUGCUUUAAGGUGCACCAGAUCCAAAGCCGGCUUAAAAAUUCUAAACAAUGCUGAAUGAACACUCAUAUUCUAGGGGACUGAAUGUGAUUGCUUCUUAGAGAAGCAGAACAUGACAACUAUUUCUUCCCACUCAAAAUAAAGCUACUGCUGAUAGUAAA